UACGUAGGGGGCAAGCGUUGUCCGGAAUUAUUGGGCGUAAAGAGCGUGUAGGCGGUCCGGUAAGUCAGCUGUGAAAGUCAAGGGCUCAACCCUUGAAUGCCGGUUGAUACUGUCGGGCUAGAGUCCGGAAGAGGCGAGUGGAAUUCCCGGUGUAGCGGUGAAAUACGCAGAUAUCGGGAGGAACACCAAUGGCGAAGGCAGCUCGCUGGGACGGUACUGACGCUGAGACGCGAAAGCGUGGGGAGCAAACAGG
rnacentral:rRNA from 1 species